GACGAACGCUGGCGGCGUGCUUAACACAUGCAAGUCGAACGGAAAGGCCCUGCUUUUGUGGGGUGCUCGAGUGGCGAACGGGUGAGUAACACGUGAGUAACCUGCCCUUGACUUUGGGAUAACUUCAGGAAACUGGGGCUAAUACCGGAUAGGAGCUCCUGCUGCAUGGUGGGGGUUGGAAAGUUUCGGCGGUUGGGGAUGGACUCGCGGCUUAUCAGCUUGUUGGUGGGGUAGUGGCUUACCAAGGCUUUGACGGGUAGCCGGCCUGAGAGGGUGACCGGCGACAUUGGGACUGAGAUACGGCCCAGACUCCUACGGGAGGCAGCAGUGGGGAAUAUUGCACAAUGGGCGGAAGCGUGAUGCAGCAACGCCGCGUGCGGGAUGACGGCCUUCGGGUUGUAAACCGCUUUCGCCUGUGACGAAGCGUGAGUGACGGUAAUGGGUAAAGAAGCACCGGCUAACUACGUG
rnacentral:rRNA from 1 species